ensembl:lncRNA
CUGUAUCUCCCCAGUCUCUGUGUUUUGCUGAUGUGAAGAAAGGGGUGCAGGAAGAGGGAGGUCUACCACAGGGCUGUAGACAGCUGGGACCGGUCAUUGACGGGUAGAGAGGGACCCUUAUUUUAGAGGACACUGCAUUUCCUGUCUGUCACAAUAAUGCAUUAUGAGCUCCACUUCCUGUUUCUCAGGCCUGAGAGGAAGGAACAGGGCGCUUGUCACACGAUAUUCAUGGCUUCCUACCAGAAGGACAGUCGACUACACCUUGAACAUCGCAGCAGGAUGUGCAUGGUUAUUUUUAGUGUCGGAAAGGUCUUGAUCAUCAGGCCUGGGUGGUUGUGGCUCCACAAGUGAACACUUCUCUGCCGUUAGGUGUGAUGACUGGCAUAAGGUGUCAGCGAGAGCUUUGCUGUUGGCAGCCAUUAUCUCUCCCCUGGGUGUCUGUGGUUUUGCCUGAGUAGCAGAGUCAGUCAGAGAGUUACACGAUUAGCUCCCAUUGUGCAGCACUGGUCAUAUUCAACAGAGGAAUGAAUAGUUAAUGUGAGAACAGCCAAGCUUCACAGAUGGCCACUCAGGGAGGCAGCAGGCUGGAGACUAAGCUGUCUGGGGCCUUUGGCGGACUCUCUCUCUCCACCAGAAGCCCGUGCCAUAUUGUGACCUUCAGCCAGAGCAGACUGAAUCAUCGACAGUGGGAACAGAUUGAGUGAGCAGAUGAGCCGUAUGUAGCCGGGCAGAGGGCAGGCCUGCGGAAUAGUACUCAAAUACCCCUGUGCCAAUCUGUACAACUGGCAUCAAAUGGACUGUUUCGCACCCAGGCCUUUAACCCCCUAAGGUUGAUGUCUGCGCCCCCAUGAAAAUCUAAUUAGUAUAAUACAAAAAAAUCACAAUAAAAAUCUGUCAGUUUAAGCUAGAGAUAUGUUUUGUUGCGUUGGACGUGUCUCAAUCCACCAUAUCCGCCUAUGUCGCACUUCCGCAUCUCCAGUGAAAGAUAACAGAUCUAGUGGUGUUUGUCAGUCCAUGAGACAUCACUACAAAUCUGUCUUCUCACAAAACCGUCUAUAGCAUCUGAACGCUUUGACCUACAAACAUGGUGUUCUCCGUUUUGCUCCACAAGUGUCAGGAGCCUCGUCUGAAGUCGGUAUAGCUGAUCUGCCAACUUCUGUCUGUAGCGUCCGAACCGUUUGGGCUACACACUAAAAUGACCCCUCUCUGCAAAGGUGAGACUCUCACAAACAUUUGCUCUAGGACGCCCACAGGCCUCACAAGACUCAACUGAAACACCUGUCCCCCGGGACCAGUUGAAAAUAUGAAUGGAAGUACAGUACCAGUCAAAAGUUUGGACCUACCUACUCAUUCUAGG